AUAAUCCUGCCGGAACACACUCUUCUUGCUGCAUUAGGAUCCAACUGGAAAAUAUAAAGAUGAAUUGCUGUAGGCUGGAAAAUCAAUUAGGAAAAAGAGGUAAAACAUCUGGUGUUACUCUUAGGAUAUGAAAAUUCAUUUUGCACAUUUAAAAUAAAUGUGCUGAGUUCAUUUAAUUGCCUGUUGAGCUGUUUCGUAGAGAAUAGUGGGGUGUUUCAUUGAUCCCGGGCAUUUCAUAGCAAGGGGCACUGGCUUGGGUUCUCGUUUAAUCUUAAUUUUAAACCAAUCUGGAUUGUAUUUCUAAGUUCUUUUUCACAUGUGUGUACUUCUUUUUCCGUGUACUUAGAAUGGUGGUUUUCAAACCUAACCAUGCAUCAGAAUCGCAUGGAGGGCUGGUUAAAACACAGAUGGCUAGGCCUAGCCCCCCGAGUUUCUGAUCCAGCGGGCCUGAGGUGGGGACCCCAAAUUUGAAUUUCUAGCAAGGUCCUAAGUCAUGCUGAUGCCGUGGGUCUGGGGCCCUCAGUUUGAGAACCACUGACUCAAAAUGAGGGAGAGUCCUUAUCAGUGCACAGAGGAGGGGGUCAUCUGGUAGGAGAGUAGAUGGAAUUCCUCGGACUUAGGGGGUCACACCCCACCGCUUGCAGUCCCAACUUCCUUACCCCAGAGAGUCCAGCACUUUCUGAGACCUUCCCUUCUGAGAUGAACCACACAUAACCCCUAUCUUCUCUACAUUCUUGGGCGAAGGGGGCUUUCACGCCCUUCUAGAGAUUUAUUUCUGCCACUUCUGAAUUCAGAAUGCAGCAGCUCUCUGUAAUUCAUCCAGCACUGGCACCUACUUUGUCAGCUCUGCUGAGAUGAGAGAGAGAUACAAAAGCAAAUAGGGCAAAGUCUUUGCCCUGGUGGGCUGGGCAGUUCCAGGAAUACAUUCACGAAGGCACUGAAGACAGUGUGCUCAAAUGGAGGCAUUAGGCCCAGGGCACAACAGGAGCCUGGGAAGUUGGGGAGGGCUUCUUGGAGGAGGGGACAUUUGAACUGAGUCUUAAAGCAGGAUGGAGUGAUGUGUAGGUGGGAGAUACAGCGUCUUUGUAUUACUGUGGGGCCUGGCCUCUGGGAAUAAAGCUCUCUUGGGUGGGAACCACCUUCCACUUUUAGGCCCUCUGGCAUAUAUUUCUUCAGUCAAGAAAAAUGAUGUUACCCAGCCAAGUCAAACACAGCCUCUCCCCUGCCUUCCCUGUCCACACACAGGCCAGUAGAGAAGGUUGGUGAUGAUGACGGUUUCAUUGUUUUCUCUGCGCCUUCCAGGGAGGCGGGGCGGAUACAGGGACUGGCUUUGUGGUCACUGUGCUCCUGGGAAACACACAGCCUGGGCUCAAGGAGGCUGGAAUACCACAAAGGGACCUUGUCCUCUGGCCCACUGGGGGACAGUCCCUUACCACUUUACUUGGCCCAUCCUCUGGCUGGAGGGAGAAACUGAGCAGUCAGGCUGUCCCUCCCGGCCCCAACUCUCAGCAGGCCCCUUUUCUGGCCUGAGAG
rnacentral:lncRNA from 1 species